UUGGUGGAUUUUUGGAAGAGCUCAUCCGACAUGGGGAUUCGAAGAGGCGUGGCUCCGUGCGCUCUCGAAGCAGCGUCCGGAUCGGUUUCUACUGAUUCAUCGCUCCUGGACAUGGAUGAUUCUACAGUUUUAUUCUCCACGAAGAUUCAAGGGACACUUUAUACAUUUACGAACAGGAACUUCAUCGGUUCCCACCACCACACGAGACGUGACUGUGAUUGGGAUCGAUUUCAACCACGGUGUAGGCUUUACGUUCUGAUCGUUCAACGACGAAACUCACCUCAAUAGUCGAUUGUGGUCCUUGACAAUGUCUCGAAGUUGCUCAUCACAAAAAUCGGAGUCACUUCUUAUUUUUGAUAUGCGCUCUGCCAAACUGGCCAUUUGGCCACAAACGUGGAAAACGAGCGUGACCAUGAGACAGUCGGCAGCACUUUGGCCACAGCCACUAAUCAAGAGGAAUGGCAAUUGUGACAAAUAAGUGUACAAGUGAUCAAUGGGCCUAAAAUCAGUGCCGUUCUCACGUGGAACCAGCUAAAGCGACGAGCAUUUCAAUGGUGCUACUCUCGACCAACGGAAUCGCUUCUUCGGCGAUGACUUUUGGUAACUGCGAUGCUGCAGUUUUGCCGAAACGCCUGUAAAGCGAGCCAGAAAGAUUGAUGUGCAGUCGAGAGAAGGAAGGGAAAAGAGCGAAGUAACUGAUUCGCGUCUCUCGAUACGAGUGAUCGUUCGAAAAUCGGAAAAUUUUCAAAACCCCUGGAUCGCUGAACCUCGAGAAGGAAGCUGCUCAAUCAUAUUUUUCUGGGAUUUCGUGACGAUCAAAUAUUUACUGCAUUUUUGUAAGAGCUCAUCGGACGUGCGUUUCCUGAGCAGCAACCGAUCAGCUUUUACUGAUUAAUCGAUCCUCACACUCAUUAAGCUCCUGGAGCUUAAUGAUUCCACAGUUUUUCUCCCCCAAAAAAUUUGUCCAUUCGAUCUCUCAUGAGCUGGCCAGAUCCAAGGGACCUUUAUCCAUUUACAAACACGAACUUUAUCGUAAGCUCUCCGACUUGCUCGCUCAUGGUGGCGCAGUCUCCUUAUCCUCGCUCGGCCUCGUAAUCGCGCUUCGUGGGGCACACACGCGACCGUCCAAGGCUCAAAAGGCGAUGGCACCCUAUCAACGCGUAAACUAGCCUCCCUCCCUGCACCCCCGAGCCUCCUGCUGCUCCUCUUUCACAUUCCCGUUGGCGCUUCUUAAAUGCGUGUCAUCUUAGCCCGUUGAAACUUCAGCUCUCCGGUAUCACACCCUCCGUGAGGUUUCUCGACUCAGGACACAAUAGGGCCGAGAAUAGUUCCGGGAAAGUGCAUUUCCAUGGAGUCUUUAGGGAACGCAUAAGUAUACGAACCCUCGUUCGAUAAAAUGUCAAGUUUUUUCGUGAAAAUUUUUUUCAAUAUUGUUUAUUUCGAUAAUUAACAAUUCGAGACCGUUUCAGAACGUACAAAUUCCCACUUGCUCAAAACGAUCAUUGAUUUCGUAGAUUUUUUUUUUGGAUUUUUAGUGCGAUUCACGAACUCGAACAGCAACAUUUACAAUUUUUCAAUCACAUCACAACAAAGUUCUCAACACGGAUAAAUAUCCCAUGGCAGUUUUCAAAACCUGAGUCAAUAGAGUUUCAAUAAAGUUAGUGAUUUUCAGUCGUCGUGCAUUGGCAUCGAGUCAUUUCUGAUAUUUCACGUUCAAUCCUUAAAUUUAGGUUUAAAAUAAUGUUACCUCGGUCAAAGUACUGAGACAAAAGAUCCCAAAUUUUCCGGCUGUCAAACAAAGUGGUUUUUGCGAUCUUGCCAUGCAAAUGAUUAGAACGCGCGCCUUUUUCGUCGGCAUUUUGUACCAGGCGCAGUCGUAAAAUGCGUUGCAAACGUUCAAGCUCUACAGCGAGAAAAAAGCAAUCAUUUUUGAGCCACUGUAGCAAAUUACUCGACAAUUGUCAGAUCUUUAUUACCUCUGUAAUUAAACUCUCUCCGACCGUACAGUGAGCGUAGAGAACGAGGAGAACGAGAAACGCGAAUGUUACGAAUGUUCCCAAUUCAGCGGUUUGGCCUUUUGCAAAGUUCUGUAAUAAUUAUUUCGUGGAGAGAGUCGAGAAAUAGAGAGAAUCUUGAAUAAAAUAAUUACGAAAAUACAAACCGGAAAAUUAACAUUUCAAAAGAGUAAGAAUUGUGGGCGAGGAAUUUUUUCUAGAAAUAGAAAUUUGGUCAUUUGGGAUUCGAAAAAAUGUCAAUAUUCCUCCGCAUUUAAAAAUUCAGUGUAAUAAAUUCUGAGUUUUAAGACUUUUUUAAAUUAUCGAGUGCUUUUGGAACUCAAAUAAAGUUUCUAGUUACGUGGGGAUUGAGAGUCCUCAAAAGUUAUAAAAAACGAACCGUCAAACAUUGGUAACCCAAAAUACAAACGAGAGAAGUAGCGCCGAUCAAGUGUCCCAGCAGAGUUUCACUGAAAGCUUCUUGAACGAUGGUCCCCAUUCUGGAAUGGAA